rnacentral:rRNA from 1 species
GUAGGUGGCAAGCGUUGUCCGGAAUUAUUGGGCGUAAAGCGCGCGCAGGCGGUCCUUUAAGUCUGAUGUGAAAGCCCACGGCUCAACCGUGGAGGGUCAUUGGAAACUGGGGGACUUGAGUACAGAAGAGGAAAGCGGAAUUCCAAGUGUAGCGGUGAAAUGCGUAGAGAUUUGGAGGAACACCAGUGGCGAAGGCGGCUUUCUGGUCUGUAACUGACGCUGAGGCGCGAAAGCGUGGGGAGCAAACAGGGAUUAGAUACCCUGGUAGUCCACGCCGUAAACGAUGAGUGCUAAGUGUUAGGGGGUUUCCCGCCCCCUUAGUGCUGCAGCUAACGCACUAAGCACUCCGCCUGGGGAGUACGGCCGCAAGGCUG